rnacentral:rRNA from 1 species
AGUGAACGCUGGCGGUAGGCCUAACACAUGCAAGUCGAACGGCAGCACAGUAAGAGCUUGCUCUUACGGGUGGCGAGUGGCGGACGGGUGAGGAAUACAUCGGAAUCUACUUUUUCGUGGGGGAUAACGUAGGGAAACUUACGCUAAUACCGCAUACGACCUACGGGUGAAAGCAGGGGAUCUUCGGACCUUGCGCGAUUGAAUGAGCCGAUGUCGGAUUAGCUAGUUGGCGGGGUAAAGGCCCACCAAGGCGACGAUCCGUAGCUGGUCUGAGAGGAUGAUCGGCCACACUGGAACUGAGACACGGUCCAGACUCCUACGGGAGGCAGCAGUGGGAAAUUUUGGACAAUGGGCGCAAGCCUGAUCCAGCCAUACCGCGUGGGUGAAGAAGGCCUUCGGGUUGUAAAGCCCUUUUGUUGGGAAAGAAAAGCAGCAGGUUAAUACCCCGCUGUUCUGACGGUACCCAAAGAAUAAGCACCGGCUAACUUCGG